rnacentral:rRNA from 1 species
UGCUUGCAAACUGAAGAUGGCGACCGGCGCACGGGUGAGUAACACGUAUCCAACCUGCCGAUAACUCCGGGAUAGCCUUUCGAAAGAAAGAUUAAUACCGGAUGGCAUACGAAUAUCGCAUGAUAUUUUUAUUAAAGAAUUUCGGUUAUCGAUGGGGAUGCGUUCCAUUAGUUUGUUGGCGGGGUAACGGCCCACCAAGACUACGAUGGAUAGGGGUUCUGAGAGGAAGGUCUCCCACAUUGGAACUGAGACACGGUCCAAACUCCUACGGGAGGCAGCAGUGAGGAAUAUUGGUCAAUGGGCGAGAGCCUGAACCAGCCAAGUAGCGUGAAGGAUGAAGGCUCUAUGGGUCGUAAACUUCUUUUAUAUGGGAAUAAAGUUUUCCACGUGUGGAAUUUUGUAUGUACCAUAUGAAUAAGGAUCGGCUAACUCCGUGCCAGCAGCCGCGGUAAUACGGAGGAUCCGAGCGUUAUCCGGAUUUAUUGGGUUUAAAGGGAGCGUAGGUGGAUUGUUAAGUCAGUUGUGAAAGUUUGCGGCUCAACCGUAAAAUUGCAGUUGAAACUGGGAGUCUUGAGUACAGUAGAGGUGGGCGGAAUUCGUGGUGUAGCGGUGAAAUGCUUAGAUAUCACGAAGAACUCCGAUUGCGAA